AUUGAACGCUGGCGGCAGGCCUAACACAUGCAAGUCGAGCGGAUGAAGGGAGCUUGCUCCUGGAUUCAGCGGCGGACGGGUGAGUAAUGCCUAGGAAUCUGCCUGGUAGUGGGGGAUAACGUCCGGAAACGGGCGCUAAUACCGCAUACGUCCUGAGGGAGAAAGUGGGGGAUCUUCGGACUUCACGCUAUCAGAUGAGCCUAGGUCGGAUUAGCUAGUUGGUGGGGUAAAGGCCUACCAAGGCGACGAUCCGUAACUGGUCUGAGAGGAUGAUCAGUCACACUGGAACUGAGACACGGUCCAGACUCCUACGGGAGGCAGCAGUGGGGAAUAUUGGACAAUGGGCGAAAGCCUGAUCCAGCCAUGCCGCGUGUGUGAAGAAGGUCUUCGGAUUGUAAAGCACUUUAAGUUGGGAGGAAGGGCAGUAAGUUAAUACGUUGCUGUUUUGACGUUACCAACAGAAUAAGCACCGGCUAACUUCGUG
rnacentral:rRNA from 1 species